ACUCAGGUUCAGGAGUCAUCUACCUCUAUCUCAGAGGAGUUAUCUACUCCAGUCCAGUGUGAGACAGACCGUACUGGUUUAUAUGGAGUUGUGGUGUAUAAUGACCAAACUUAUCCCAUAACUUUUGUUGGGAACCAUCAGUCUAGAAAUCAGCCUUUAUAUGCAGACAACACAACCGUUGGAUGUGAAGAAUUGGAGUGGCAGCUGAGCACAGAAGACAUACAUCAUCAGGAGCAGAACCUGGAGUUUCAGCCCUCUGUACACUUGAUGUCUGGCGGGAGAUAUAACGCACAACUGAGCCCUUGUCCCGUCUGCCUGACUGAACCCACAAAGAGACUGACUACUCUUUGGUAAUCGCAGUAUGACACUUCUUAAAUUCACAGUAUGGACACUCACAGGUCUCACCAAACGCAACAAACUAACAAAGAUUGAAUAUUGGCCGGAUGUGUUAUAACAGACUAUUUCUUAGCCUCGUGGUACAGGCUGGCUGCAGGCUUAUGGGUUUAUGAUUAAGGUUCA